CCCUUCUUUUAAAAGCACCGUGCUAAAAUCACCAGCUCAAGGCCUUCGGGCCUUGCUCUGGUGUUUAUGCUAGUACUGGUUAAUCUUAAUUAAGGAAGAGCAGAAGCACACGGUCGGAAAUGAGUCUAGGGCGGACCUCUUUCUUAAUGUCCGGUGUCCAAGAUCUCGAGAUUUUUGUGCCAUUAGA
ensembl:snoRNA